UAUGUCCGUAAGGAUGAACCUGCGGAAGGAUCAUUAUCGAAUAAAUUUAGAGUUGGUUGUAGCUGGUUCUUACUUUUGAGCAUUCGUGCACACCUUCUCUUAUUUUUUCAUCCACACACCCCCUGUGCACUUGUGAGACGGGACGGGGCUUCAAAACCCCCUGCCCGUCUAUUGUCACAUACAAACUCAUUUAAAUUAAACUGAAUGUAAUUGAUGUAACGCAUCAUUUAAACUAAGUUUCAACAACGGAUCUCUUGGCUCUCGCAUCGAUGAAGAACGCAGCGAAAUGCGAUAAGUAAUGUGAAUUGCAGAAUUCAGUGAAUCAUCGAAUCUUUGAACGCACCUUGCGCUCCUUGGUAUUCCUCGGAGCAUGCCUGUUUGAGUAUCAUGAAACUCUCAAAGAAAAUCUUUUGUUAAUUCAAUUGGUUUGCUUUGGACUUGGAGGUUUUUUUUGCAGAUUAAUUUCUGCUCCUCUUAAAUGUAUUAGCUGGAUCUCAGUAUAUGCUCGGUUCCACUCGGCGUGAUAAGUAUCACUCGCUGAGGACACUGUUAAAAAGGUGGCCGGGAAAUACAGAUGAACCGCUUCGAACAGUCCAUUCACUUGGGACNAAAAUAAGUUUUAAAGAUCUGAUCUCCAAUUCAGGGUAGGACUACCCGCCUGAACCUUAAGCAUAUCAAUAGGCGAAGAAAAAA
rnacentral:rRNA from 1 species